rnacentral:rRNA from 1 species
AUUGAACGCUGGCGGCAGGCCUAACACAUGCAAGUCGAACGAGUGGCGGACGGGUGAGUAAUGUCUGGGAAACUGCCUGAUGGAGGGGGAUAACUACUGGAAACGGUAGCUAAUACCGCAUACCAACGGAUGUGCCCAGAUGGGAAUAGCUAGUAGGUGGGGUACAGGCUCACCUAGGCGACGAUCCCUAGCUGGUCUGAUAGGAUGACCAGCCACACUGGAACUGAGACACGGUCGAGACUCCGACGGGAGGCAGCAGUGGGGAAUAUUGCACAAGGGGCGCAAUCCUGAUGCAGCCAUGCCGAGUGUAUGAAGAAGGCCUUCGGGUUGUAGAGUACUUUCAGCGGGGAGGCGUUAUCCGCAGAAGAAGCACCGGCUAACUCCGUGCCAGCGGCCGCGGUAAUAC